GAUGAACGCUGGCGGCGUGCUUAACACAUGCAAGUCGAACGGAGUGGCGAACGGGUGAGUAACACGUGAGUAACCUGUCCUUUUCUUUGGGAUAAGCUUCCGAAAGGGUGUUUAAUACCUUAUAGGGUGGGCUCGCGGUCUAUCAGCUUGUUGGUGGGGUGAUGGCCUACCAAGGCUUUGACGGGUAGCCGGCCUGAGAGGGUGGUCGGUCACAGUGGGACUGAGAUACGGCCCAGACUCCGGCGGGAGGCAGCAGUGGGGGAUAUUGCACAAUGGGCGAAAGCCUGAGGCAGUGACGCCGCGUGGGGGAUGAAGGCCUACGGGUUGUAAACUUCGUUUGCUCUGAACGGGUAGGGGUUGAUAAGCGCCGGCUAACUACGUGCCAGCAGCCGCGGUAAUAC
rnacentral:rRNA from 1 species